rnacentral:rRNA from 1 species
AUUGAACGCUGGCGGCAGGCCUAACACAUGCAAGUCGAACGAGUGGCGGACGGGUGAGUAAUGUCUGGGAAACUGCCUGAUGGAGGGGGAUAACUCUGGAAACGGUAGCUAAUACCGCAAACCAUCCGGUGUGCCCAGAUGGGAUUAGCUUGGUGGGGGGGUAACGGCCCACCAAGGCGACGAUCCAUAGCUGGUCUGAGAGGAAGACCAGCCACACUGGAACUGAGACACGGUCCAGACUCCUACGGGAGGCAGCAGGGGGGAAUAUUGCACAAUGGGCGCAAGCCUGAUGCAGCCAUGCCGCGUGUAUGAAGAAGGCCUUCGGGUUGUAAAGUACUUUCAGCGGGGAGGCGUUACCCGCAGAAGAAGCACCGGCUAACUCCGUGCCAGCAGCCGCGGUAAUUC